CCCUUAGAUGUUCUGGGCUGCACGCGUGCUACAAUGGCGCUUGCAACAAGUCUUGCCAACCCGAUAGGGUGAGCGGAUCUUUGAAGAGGCGUCGUGAUCGGGACAGUUGAUUGCAAUUAUUCGACUCGAACGAGGAAUUCCUUGUAAUCGCGAUUCAUCAUAUCGCGCUGAAUACGUCCCUGCCCUUUGUACACACCGACCGUCGCUCCUACCGAUUGAGCGAUCCGGUGAAUGUUUUGGACUGGCGUCAGAAGCGGUUCGCUCCUGACACUACGAAAUUUUGUAAACCUUAUCGCUUAGAGGAAGGAAAAGUCGUAACA
rnacentral:rRNA from 1 species